AUUGAACGCUGGCGGCAUGCCUUACACAUGCAAGUCGAACGGCAGCACGGGAGCAAUCCUGGUGGCGAGUGGCGAACGGGUGAGUAAAGUAUCGGAACGUGCCCAGUCGUGGGGGAUAACGUAGCGAAAGUUACGCUAAUACCGCAUAUGAUCUAUGGAUGAAAGCGGGGGAUCGCAAGACCUCGCGCGAUUGGAGCGGCCGAUAUCAGAUUAGGUAGUUGGGGGGGUAAAGGCUCACCAAGCCGACGAUCUGUAGCUGGUCUGAGAGGACGACCAGCCACACGGGGACUGAGACACAGCCCAGACUCCUACGGGAGGCAGCAGUGGGGAAUUUUGGACAAUGGGCGAAAGCCUGAUCCAGCCAUGCCGCGUGCAGGAUGAAGGCCUUCGGGUUGUAAACUGCUUUUGUACGGAACGAAAAGGUUUGGCCUAAUAAGCUGAGCUCAUGACGGUACCGUAAGAAUAAGCACCGGCUAACUACGUGCCAGCAGCCGCAGUAA
rnacentral:rRNA from 1 species